rnacentral:rRNA from 1 species
GACGAACGCUGGCGGCGUGCUUAACACAUGCAAGUCGAACGGUGAAGCGCCUUCCUUUUUGGUGGGUGUGGAUGAGUGGCGAACGGGUGAGUAACACGUGAGUAACCUGCCCCCUUCUUCUGGAUAACCGCAUGAAAGUGUGGCUAAUACGGGAUAUUCUGGGUCUGUCGCAUGAUGGGUCUGGGAAAGAUAUUGUUUCGGUGGGGGAUGGGCUCGCGGCCUAUCAGCUUGUUGGUGGGGUGAUGGCCUACCAAGGCGGUGACGGGUAGCCGGCCUGAGAGGGUGGACGGUCACACUGGGACUGAGACACGGCCCAGACUCCUACGGGAGGCAGCAGGGAGGAAUAUUGCACAAUGGGCGCAAGCCUGAUGCAGCGACGCCGCGUGAGGGAUGGAGGCCUUCGGGUUGUGAACCUCUUUCGCCAGUGAAGCAGGCCUGCCUCGUUUGUGGGUGGGUUGACGGUAGCUGGAUAAGAAGCGCCGGCUAACUACGUG